CUCAACUGACCUCGGGUGGGCUUUGGAGACCACCAAAACCACCCUGGGGGGCUUGGGGACCACCAGGAACAUCAUGGUGGGCUUUGGGGACACCAAGAUCCCGUGCCUGUGUCGCACCGAGAGCUGCCGCGGCACCCUCAACUGACCUCGGGUGGGCUUUGGAGACCACCAAAAACAUCUUGGUGGGGCUUGGAGACCACCCUGGUGGGCUUGGGGACCACCAGAAACAUCUUGGUGGGGCUUGGUGACCACCAAGGUCAGGUUUUGGCCACCAAGGUUGGAAUUUGGCCACCAAGGUCAGGUUUUGGCCACCAGGAUCAGGUUUUGGCCACCAAGGUCAGGUUUUGGCCACCAAGGUCAGUCUUUGGCCACCAUGGCC
ensembl:lncRNA